AAUCUCACGCCUUCAAUUAAAUUUUAGGUUAAAUACACAAGAGUUGAGCCGUCCCACUCAUUCAAACAACUACUAUCUAUUAUUGCAAGUUAUAUUUUGAGUGUGAGAGUGUGAGUGUUUUCUAAUUCACGGCGGCCCGCAAAUAUUUGGAAAUUCACGACUGCAAAGUGAUUGGAAAUUCAAGGGUAUUGCUAAGUGUUAGGAAUAUUUUCGGCUUUGGGCAUAUUAAUUUGGGGCUUCAAGAAUUAUUCGUCUCUUUGCACAUUUUUUGCGGCUUCAAGAAUUCAUUCGCGGCUUAUUGCAUACUAUCAAGAAUUUCCGGUUUCAAGGCAUACUCUGUGGCUUCUUCUUCAACCCAAGUAAGCAUCGAAUCUCCUUGAGCAUAUUUUUAUGUAUUUUAAGCAUGUUAAUUCGUAUAAAUUGAGCUUUAUUUUAGUUUCGUGGAUUUAUUUGAUUAUUUUGUAUGGUAUGUUGUUGGAUCGUGGCUUUGUUUUAGUUUGGUGAUUUGCUGUUUUUUUUAGGCGAUGAUUUGUUGUUGAAGCAUGUAUGUUUAGAACCGUGACUUUAUUUUACUUUCGUGGAUUUAUUAGUUUGGUGGAUUUGAUUUUUGUUAAUAGGGAUAUUACUUUGGUGGAUUUAUUUAGUGUAUAGAGACGAUUCGUGUAUAGAGAUAUUAGUUAGUUUGGUCAAUUUAUUUGAAAUUUUGUUGGAGACAAUUCAUAUAUAGAUGUGCAUUAUUUGAUAUUUGGUUUGAGAUAAUUCGUGUAAUUAGCUAAAUGGAGCUUUAUAUUAGUUUGUUGGAUUUAUUAGUUUAGGUCCUUUUAUAUGUUAAUUUGGGGCUUCAAGAAUUAUUCGUCUCUUUGCACAUUUUUUGCGGCUUCAAGAAUUCAUUCGCAGCUUAUUGCAUACUAUCAAGAAUUUCCGGCUUCAAGGCAUACUCCGUGGCUUCUUCUUCAACCCAAGAGAUUAUCCCUUAUUGGAAGCCCGAGACGAUCAAUCGUCCUAGAAUAGCGAUUAGUACGUACUACAAGACCAAGUACCUGCAGACAGUAGUGCGGAAACUAAAUGACAUCGGGGUGAUGUACUGGGGAACAUAUUUCAACAUGGGUGCUUUGGUAUGUUGUUGGAUUGGGCGUCGGGCCCCAAGUGCAACACGACAUUGCACCAUGUUGUCUCUCGUCAGAUUAAGAUAAGAGGCGACGGCAAGGAGGAUGAAAUCAUCUGGUUCUACAUCAAUUAAUGGGAGGAUGAUUUGCUUAUCAUCGAGAGAUUUUGCCCUCGUCACAGGAUUGUCAUUCGGGGCGUCGCCUUUUGAUCCAGAGGCAAAGUACGAUAUGAGGAGGGCACAAACCUUCAGACGAUUUUGCAACGGGCAGCAUACGUCAGUUGGGGCGUUGAGCGAUAAAUUUAUGGCCCAGCAGGUUGACGACCCCGACGGCGGGAUAUACCUUCGUGUGGCCCACUUGUUGGUGCUACACGCAUUCGUUUUGGAAGUGGACUUGCCACGACCCGUGGAGCCCUGAAUUUGGGCUUUAGUGGAUGACUUGCAGGCGUUUUCCACAUUUUAUUGGGGAGCGUACGCGUAUAAAGCCCUGAAUUACAGGAUGAAGAAUAUUCCUGCAGAUAUUCCUACAAGCGGGAAGUACCACUUCUACGGUCCUUCUUGGGCCCUAUUUGUUUGGGCUCUUGAGGUUAUCCCCAACUUGGGCAGAGCCGUGGCCAUAUGUAAUGCAGGGAGAUACCCUAGAUGCUAGAAGUGGACGUUCUUGAAGACCAGCAGAGAAGAGUUACAACCCUUAUUUGAGAUAGAGGGUGGAGAGAUUUACGAGAUGAGGCCCGAUGAGUACGAGGUCACGACGCUUUACUGGCUAUCGGUGGCAGGCGGCGGUGAUUUAGGCGUCUCAUUUCCAGGUCCGGAGGCAUUCGGCCCCAGGCAGGCUCGGCAGCGCCAUAGUGGUGGGGACCAGACCUCCUCCAUGAUCUCACUCAGAGAGGAGACGCGAGCCCAAGUCCGAUCCAGCGACGCGUGCAUCAUCGGAGGCCCCAUCGCGUCAUCAGUCCCCUGCACAUGACUCCUUUGCACGGGAGGCGGGACAUCCUACCGUUGAUGAUGUGCACACCCACAUAGGCAGUAUGAUGCUUUUGGUGGUCCAACUAAUUUUGGGGAUAUCCAUACUCCAUACAUGGGCGGCCAACAGUGGCAGUUGACGCUAUUGGGUGAGUCGAGUUCUUAUGGAGGUCCACGUUAUUCAUAUCAUGAGCAGAGCACUAGCUCAGCAUACCUGACUGAGCAGGCUCGUCAUUCGGUGCCAGAUCUGAGAGAUCCCGGAUAUUUAUCGGUAGAAAUCCACCAGUAUUGGCAGAACAUAGGACUGUAUUUGUCCACCAGAGGUUGUACCACCGCGUAGAAGCCACCGUGAACAGCAGCCUUCGGUUGCACUUUGUUCACCAUACGUUCACAGCACUGAGUCCAAACCCGUCGAGCAGCAAUAUGUUGACGCAUUUUAGCGUAUGCUGAAUGCAGGCCGCCGGCGCUACAAGGAGGUAGUUUCAGGCUCAACGAAUGCGUCAUCAUAAUAUUGUUGAUGCUGUACAUCAAGUUUGCAACAGUUUCGUUGACGAGGGAAAGGACCUCUGUAGCCUGCCAACAUAGUAUAUACCAUCGACGGCUCCGUUGUAUCUCACAUAUACGUAUCUCACGAAUUCCAUCUAUAAAAUCACA